CAAGCUCUCUCCCUUUUUUUUGCAGCAGGCCGAGGUUUCCUCCUUCUCCGCCCAGGCCACUUCCCCCGGGCUGGCAGCUGUGCUUAUGAGGGCCAAUGGCUGGCGUUGUCACUGACCUGCAGGCCCUGCAGAGCCAUCUCCAGGCCAUGGAGCGGGGAAUGGGGAGUGGGGAGCAGCCGGACGAUCGCCCCCUGUACAAACUGCCAGAGCCUGGACUGGAAGGUGCUGCUCUCUGCGGCCCUGACUUCCAGCAGCCCCAGCAACUGGAGCUCCCGGAGUGCCGAGGACACAUCCCCCCAGAAUGUACCAGCGCCCACCUCCCUGGAGCCCUGAGCAGCCUGGGCCGGCCCAGCCACCCUCUGCUGGGUGUGGAAGAAGAAAUCAAGCACCGGAAACGACCCAGGCUCUCCAGCGGACCCCUGGCCAGUCCCAGCCUGGUGGCUCCCUUCCCU